rnacentral:lncRNA from 1 species
GAUCACCAGGACUUGAAUAUCUUGGACGUACCGAUUGCCCCAACUAUCCUUAUUGAGCAAUUUCAGUAGCUCUUGCAAUAGGUCCAAGCACUGACCAUUGUAGUGCAAUGCUUGUAGCAGGUAGCUCAUCAGCCAGCUCUGAUGUCGAGCGAUCAUCCUGCCCUGAUGCAUCUAAUCUCCCUCCUUCUUCGAUGAGCUUGAGAUGGAGCAAUCAGUCCCACCCUGAUAGCCCAGAAGAAGCUCAGUGGAUUUCUUAAUCCACCC